GACGAGAGUGGCAAACGUUGUUCGGAAUUACUGGGCGUAAAGCGUCUGUAGGGGGAUGUUCACGUCGGUUGUAAAAGUCCAGGGCUCAACCCUGGGAUGGCAUCCGAUACGGCUCAUCUUGAAGAAGGUAGAGGCACACGGAAUUCCAGGAGUAGGGGUAAAAUCCGUAGAUACCUGGAGGAACACCGAUAGCGAAGGCAGUGUGCUGGGCCUCUCUUGACCCUAAGAGACGAAAGCGUGGGGAGCAAACGGG
rnacentral:rRNA from 1 species